rnacentral:rRNA from 1 species
GGGGAAUUUUGGACAAUGGGCGCAAGCCUGAUCCAGCAAUGCCGCGUGCAGGAUGAAGGCCUUCGGGUUGUAAACUGCUUUUGUACGGAGCGAAAAGGCUUCUCCUAAUACGAGGGGCUCAUGACGGUACCGUAAGAAUAAGCACCGGCUAACUACGUGCCAGCAGCCGCGGUAAUACGUAGGGUGCGAGCGUUAAUCGGAAUUACUGGGCGUAAAGCGUGCGCAGGCGGUUUUGUAAGACAGAUGUGAAAUCCCCGGGCUCAACCUGGGACCUGCAUUUGUGACUGCAAGGCUAGAGUACGGUAGAGGGGGAUGGAAUUCCGCGUGUAGCAGUGAAAUGCGUAGAUAUGCGGAGGAACACCGAUGGCGAAGGCAAUCCCCUGGACCUGUACUGACGCUCAUGCACGAAAGCGUGGGGAGCAAACAGGAUUAGAUACCCUGGUAGUCCACGCCCUAAACGAU